GUAUCAUUUUCCUAAAUCUAAUGGCAGAUCAUUUAGGCAUGAUUGGCUAGACCAGCAUGAAUGGCUUUGCUAUUCACCUUCACAAAAUGGUACUCUGCAGCCUAUCGAGAUGAUCAUGGAUGCUGGUAUCAAGAAAGAAAUAGAACAGAA